UUGUUGUUCUCGCACGUUGUUGUUCUCGCCAACGUGACAUAACAUGUGCGUGCGCUGACGCUACGUCGGAUUAUAUUUAGCCCGCCCGCUCCCGCAGUCGAGCGACGCCGGAGGUCCCGACGUCGUGUAGGCCUAGUCCCUCGAAGCGCUCCUGACAACAGCCGCGUUUCAUCGACAUUUCGGCACGACGCUACUAUUCUGCAGCUGGAAUUUUUACGGCGUAGUGACAGUGAAGCUCAAGGAAAACUUCAAGCAUUAGCGUCAACUCCUGCUACUGACUGAAAAUCGGAACUACUAGAUGGCGUUUACGACAUCGCUGUCGAGGCAAACAAGCUGGCUACGUCUGCUGAGCAUGUGUCUGCUGAAAACUUGCAGUGGGUGCUCAGAAGGCACCACCGUAGUGACACUAGCCAGACAGACUACAUUCCUGGAGGCUAUUAAUGCAAUAGAACUUGUAUAUAUUCAAAUAUAUUGCAGUGUUCUGUUAUAAAAAUAAGCUCAUUUUGUUUUUUUCAAGUUUUCUCAGAAUCUCAUUUUUUGUGUUUUUUAAACUUGCUGAAGCGCCAUCUAGGUCUUCAAGGUACAUAGAAUCAUAAUUUUAACAGCGGCAUGUAGCUACAUGUGUGUACUACCCAAUGCUAGGAGCAGAUUCUUUAAUUUCGCUUUUGUAAAUUUUAAAAUCUGGCUACUAAUUGGACCACGUAAUUGCCAUGUCUGGAGAUUGAACUUCAAAUUGCUGUAAAAUUGGCAAUACCUGCAAUAUAAAAAAAGUAGUCGCAGUUGUGUUGUUUACACUUUCUAGUAUCCAGCUAUAAACAUUCUGGCUGAUACUCUUCUUACAUUGUUUUGCAACGGGGGUGUUCGCCUAGCAGAAGGGUCACUAGUUAUAGGUUGUAGCGCUAGGCUUAAACAGGUCGGCGCUAUAUCGUAACGGGGAAGCAAGCACUUCUUGUCGUCUUCUCUUGCACCAGCACACCAGCACCAUGCCCACUGCCCAGUGCCUUCAGUACAAUCACUCCCCACCAAAAGAGUAGCCAUCCUGGCGACUUAAGGACAGGAGAACACAGUACCCGAUAAGGACCGUGGUACUUGGAGAGCAGCUUGGAGGAAAGGCCUGGAGGAGUAGAGGGCACCCACAACCAGACCAGCGAGCCAGGCGCAAAGCACGUAGCCGUAGUAAAUGAAUCGUGGCGAAGCUUUUGGCGCCACUGGUCCUGGGAUGUGAACGAACGAGCGAGCUGGCGACAUUCUUCGGCGUAAGAAGCCGCUCUAGAAACAGUCAUCCACUCCGAAGCAUCUGGCCGAUUCGGCUUUCCAACACUCCAAGAGGACGUGGAGGCCCGUCAGUCUCUACCACAUCGACCACAGGUUGGAGGUUCAUUUCCAGAAUUUGUUGUCCGCCCAGUUCUACACAAGGAUCUGGAACCAGGCCUCUCUUUCUUGUAAAGAGAACACAAGAACUUUUUUGGGAGUUGAUUUUAAAUCCAUUUUGGUCAGCCCACUUGGACACCUUGUUUAAGCCCUGCUGUACCUGUCUCUCACACACUUUAAGGUUGCAGGAUUUGAAACCUAUUUGUAUAUUGUCUACGUAGACGGAAUAAAAAAUGGCCAGUGGUAGAAGUACGAAGUGUGUUCAUCUUAACGAUAAAGAGUGUGCAACUGAGUACGCCUCCCUGGGGUACACCAGUUUUUUGUAUAAAAGGUCGCGAUAAUAUGUUGCCGAUUUUCAUGCGGAAGAUACGAUUCGACCAAUAGCUUUCAAUUAUUUUCAGCAUAUUUCCGCAGAUGCCCAUUCCCAACAAGUCUCGCAAGAUCCCGUAAUGCCAUGUUGUGUCAUACGCCUUCUCCAUAUCGAGGAAUAUUGAUAAGAAAAACUGUUUAUGUACAAAUGCAUCGCGGAUAUAUUCUUGAAUGCGCACAAGAUGGUCUGUUGUUGACCGCCCUUCUCUGAAGCCACACUGAUAAGGAUCAAGUAUAUUGUUGAAUUCAAGGAAAUGUAUGAGUCUGCGAUUAAUCAUUUUUUUCAAAAACUUACACAGACAAUUUGUAAGUGCUAUCGGAUGAUAACUUGCCGCCAAGGAAGGGUCUUUACCCUGCUUCAGAACAGGGACCACAAUCGCUUCUUUUCAUGUGGAUGGAAGGUAUCCCGCAGCCGAAAUAGUGUUGAAAAUUGCAAGUACAUAAUGCACCCUGUGUGUCAGUAUGUAAGUUUCUGAUCAUGUCAUACAUGACUGUCAGGUCCCGGUGCAGAGCUCUUGCAUGUGUUCAAGGCAGCUCUCAACUCGGCAAUACUGAAAGGCCUGUUAUACGGUUCAUUCUGUCUGCAUUUACAUAUGAAUGGCCUACGUUCUUCUAUUUCUUUGUGUUUAAGAAAGGAUUGAGAAUAGUGGAUUGAGCUCGACACACGCUCAAAGUGCUCCGCAAGAAAGUCUGCCUGCUCUUCUAAGGUAUUCCCUUAAUCGUUCACCAGAGGCAACAGAUUUAUUUGCUGCCCUUUUAGCCUCCUUACACCAUUCCAAACUUUUGCCUCCUGUGUGUAUGAGCUUAUACCUGAGAGGAACUUUUCCCAGCUUUCUCUCUUUGCUUGAUGUCGUAUCCGCCUUCCCUGCGAUUUUAUGUGUUUCAAUUCAAUUAGAUUUUCUGUAUUCGGUGAUCUGCGCAAUAUGCCUCAUGCCUUAUUCUGCCUCUUUUGCGCAUCUCUACAGUCUUCAUUCCACCAGGGAACACAUCUAUUACGUGAACCACCAUUGGUUUGUGGGAUAAACUUUUCAGCAGCAUCACAAAUAAAAGCCGUAAAAUAUGCGACAGCAUCAUCUAUACUAAAAUUGCUUAUAAAAUCGGUUGUUAAAUGAGUUGAUUCUUUAAAAUGCUCCCAGUCAGCUGAUGCUAAUUUCCAAAUGGGAACACGGGGACGGUUGUCAUGCUGCGUUAUUAAGUUUAAAGUUAUAGGGAAGUGGACACUUCCAAAAGGAUUAUUGAUCACAUUCCAUUCCAGAUGAGGCAGAAGAGAAGCAGAGCGUACUGCUAGAUCUAUCUAUGAAUAUGAAUUGUGUUGUGUGCUAUAAUAGGUCGGCUCCUUCUUAUUGAAAAGGCAGGCACUAGAGGUCACAAGAAAAUUUUCAAUCAAUCGUCCUCUCGCGUCGCAUCGCGAAUCUCCCCACAUCGUGUUGUGGGCAUUAAAAUCACCUACAAGUAUGUACGGGUCAAGAAGCUGAUUAAUUAGGUUACAAAAAUCGGUUUUUCUCAGAUGAUGGUUAGGAGGUAUGCAUAUAGAGCAGACAGUCAUCAGUUUGUUAAAAAGGAUUGCCCGAACUGACAUUGCCUCAAGGGGCGUAUGAAGGGCGAUCUGUUGACAAGCUACAGACUUAUCCGCAACUAUUGCAACACCACCGGAGGCAUUAGCCUCGUUGCAGUCUUUACAAUAGAUUGUGUAUUGAAGAAGAAAGUUUGUGUGUGUGGGUUUCAGAUGUGUCUCUUGAACACACAGCAACUUUGGAUGAUGCUUGUGUAGAAGUUCUGUAAUAUCGUCUAGGUUGUGAAUGAGUCCUCUAACAUUUCAUUGCAGUAUAUUUGUGUCUCCAUUAUAGAAAAUGUGUGCUGUGUGCUUAAGAGACGAGGAUUAGCUCACAGGCCCUUUGGCGGCGCCGUGACGCGAGUUUUGUCUUUUUUGGGGCGGUCGAGUGAGGCUCGCCGCUCCUUAGGCGCUGGUGGUACCGUCUGGCUGGUUGUUGUGUCCAUCGCCUCUUGCGAGGAGCUAGACGCGCGCUCUUCCGAGCACUGUGUUUGACGUGAAGGCCUC